GCUUGACUGUAUCUUGGAAUUGGGUUUCGGGCUUUUCUUGCGCAGACUAGGUGGGAGGCUAUGAAGAUUUUUCUUCUGGGAAAGUUGGAGCCAACAGUGAGAGACCACUCUGGAAAGGCUAGAAAUCCUAAUGGUGAUCCUUGAAUCAGGACACUUGACAGUUUUCAGGUGGGCAGUUUUUUCUGGGGCGGAAGCCUCAUAAAAAGGUAACUGAGGCGCGCAAAGGUCCCCUCAGUCUGGACGGAAAUCAGACAUUGAGUGUAAAAGGCAAAAGGGGGCUUGACUGCAAGACCCACAAGUCGAGCAGGGGCGAAAGCUGGCCUUAGUGAUCCGACGGUGCCGUGUGGAAGGGCCGUCGCUCAACGAAUAAAAGUUA
rnacentral:rRNA from 1 species